rnacentral:rRNA from 1 species
AUUCCAGCUCCAAUAGCGUAUAUUAAAGUUGUUGCAGUUAAAAAGCUCGUAGUUGGAUUUCUGGUAGGAGCGACCGUGCCGAACUUGAUUGUUCGUGUAUUGUGUUGUCUUCAGCCAUCCUCGUGGAGAACUUUUCUAACAUUAACUUGUUGGGAUUGGGACCCGCGUCGUUUACUGUGAAAAAAUUAGAGUGUUUAAAGCAGGCAUUAGCUUGAAUACAUUAGCAUGGAAUAAUAAGAUAGGACUUUGGUACUAUUUUGUUGGUUUGCAUACCAAAAUAAUGAUCAACAGGAACAGUUUGAGGAUAUUCGUAUGAACAUGUCAGAGGUGAAAUUCUUGGAUUAACGGAAGAUGAACUUCUGCGAAAGCAUCUGCCAAGGAUGUUUUCAUCA